UGGGGAAUAUUGCGCAAUGGGGGAAACCCUGACGCAGCCAUGCCGCGUGAGUGAAGAAGGUCUUCGGAUCGUAAAGCUCUUUCAACGGUGAAGAUAAUGACGGUAGCAGGUAAAGAAACCCCGGCUAACUCCGUGCCAGCAGCCGCGGUAAUACGGAGGGGGUUAGCGUUGUUCGGAAUUACUGGGCGUAAAGCGCACGUAGGCGGACCAGAAAGUUGGGGGUGAAAUCCCGGGGGCUCAACCCCGGAACUGCCUCCAAAACUAUUGGUCUAGAGUUCGAGAGAGGUGAGUGGAAUUCCAAGUGUAGAGGUGAAAUUCGUAGAUAUUUGGAGGAACACCAGUGGCGAAGGCGGCUCACUGGCUCGAUACUGACGCUGAGGUGCGAAAGUGUGGGGAGCAAACAGGAUUAGAUACCCUGGUAGUCCACACCGUAAAACGAUGAAUGCCAGUCGUCGGGUAGCAUGCUAUUCGGUGACACACCUAACGGAUUAAGCAUUCCGCCUGGGGAGUACGGUCGCAAGAUUAAAACUCAAAUGAAUU
rnacentral:rRNA from 1 species